rnacentral:tRNA from 1 species
GCCGGCGUGGCGGAACAGGCAGACGCACAGGACUUAAAAUCCUGCGAUAGAAAUAUCGUACCGGUUCGAUCCCGGUCGCCGGCA